rnacentral:rRNA from 1 species
UACGGAGGGGGCGAGCGUUGUCCGAAGUUACUGGGCGUAAAGCGCGUGUAGGCGGGUUGCCAAGUCCGCUGUGAAAGCCCGAGGCUCAACCUCGGAGGGUCGGUGGAUACUGGCAGUCUUGAAGUGGCUAGGGGGAGAUGGAAUUCCCGGUGGAGUGGUGAAAUGCGUAGAGAUCGGGAGGAACACCAGUGGCGAAGGCGGCCGGCUGGGGGUGACCUGACGCUGAGGCGCGAAAGCGUGGGGAGCGAACCGG